rnacentral:tRNA from 3 species
GCCCCUUUAGCUCAUUGGUAGAGCGUUUGCCUAGUAAGCAAAAGGUAGCAGGUUCGAUCCCUGCAAGGGGCA